GUUCGAUGGCAUGGCGGGGCCAUAGUUUCUGUCCUAUGAUGACCAGAGGGUGGACACAGCAGGCCCUGUACCUGCUGAGAAUGUGUAGCCAUGACCUUCUUUACUUCGUAAAGGGCUUUCUCUUAGGAUGAUGGCCCUUUUCCGUCUGUCCUACAGGCCCAAGCCUGUUGGAGCUUUUCUUACUCUAGUCCUUUCUCUCCCCUAGGUAACUACAACCAAGUUCUGACUUGUUAAGGUCAGAGAAUUCUGGAGUGAGGAAGACAGCAGAAUAAGAGAGAAGCUCUUAGCCUGCAGUCCUUUCUGUAGACCACUCAGCACCGCUGUCUGCCGGGGCCUUGGCGUUCCUCUUCCCACACAGCCGUCGUCUGUUAAAGCAGAACACGGGAGCGCGCUCCGGUACAAAGACAAACUAUGUACAGACACCCGGGAAGCAACCAGAGAAAAGCAACCAUUUGGGGGAUCAAGAGACAAAUGGGAAGAAAAAGUCGUUGAAGGUGACCUUCGCCCACUGACUGUGCACAGGGGGAGCCUGAAAUUCCAUUCACCGAAGCGCACAUCACGGUUUUCAUUCGGCAUAGGCAGGGGAAAAAUAAGCUCGGAGGUUUUCAUCACAUCCACCGUCACAUCGUUUGGUUUCUCUAAUCUGACAUAAAGGCUAAAGUUUUACAGAGCUUUGAGGGCCUUUGGGGAGGAAUAGGUCAGCGAUUUCCAAGGAGCAGGUAGGCCCAUGGCAGUCUCCUCAGUCCUGGAUGGGGUGGGGACCUCGGGCAGUGUUUGAUCAGAGGGAAACGUUUUGAUUUGAGAAAUCUCAGGUUGUUCUUGUGCUAAUGCAAAUGACAAAAAGCUCCAAUUGUAGCUUUUUCAGAAAAAAAGGUGCUCUGUAAACCAGCCAGCCUACCUUUUUUCCACCCCUCUCAUAUCAAAUUGUCAUUUUGGAAAGAAAUACUUUUCAGGUGUUUUAACAAUGUGGCAAAAAGGAAAUUUGGAUAGAUUUCUGUAAACACCUCAAGAUUUCAAGAAAGGAAAGACAUCAGAGGUCCACCCUGUGACCUACAG
rnacentral:lncRNA from 1 species